rnacentral:rRNA from 1 species
UGGGGAAUAUUGCACAAUGGGCGCAAGCCUGAUGCAGCCAUGCCGCGUGUAUGAAGAAGGCCUUCGGGUUGUAAAGUACUUUCAGCGGGGAGGAAGGGAGUAAAGUUAAUACCUUUGCUCAUUGACGUUACCCGCAGAAGAAGCACCGGCUAACUCCGUGCCAGCAGCCGCGGUAAUACGGAGGGUGCAAGCGUUAAUCGGAAUUACUGGGCGUAAAGCGCACGCAGGCGGUUUGUUAAGUCAGAUGUGAAAUCCCCGGGCUCAACCUGGGAACUGCAUCUGAUACUGGCAAGCUUGAGUCUCGGAGAGGGGGGUAGAAUUCCAGGUGUAGCGGUGAAAUGCGUAGAGAUCUGGAGGAAUACCCGUGGCGAAGGCGGCCCCCUGGACGAAGACUGACGCUAAGGUGCGAAAGCGUGGGGAGCAAACAGG